GAUGAACGCUGGCGGCGUGCCUAAUACAUGCAAGUCGAGCGAAUGGAUUAAGAGCUUGCUCUUAUGAAGUUAGCGGCGGACGGGUGAGUAACACGUGGGUAACCUGCCCAUAAGACUGGGAUAACUCCGGGAAACCGGGGCUAAUACCGGAUAACAUUUUGAACCGCAUGGUUCGAAAUUGAAAGGCGGCUUCGGCUGUCACUUAUGGAUGGACCCGCGUCGCAUUAGCUAGUUGGUGAGGUAACGGCUCACCAAGGCAACGAUGCGUAGCCGACCUGAGAGGGUGAUCGGCCACACUGGGACUGAGACACGGCCAAGACUCCUACGGGAGGCAGCAGUAGGGAAUCUUCCGCAAUGGACGAAAGUCUGACGGAGCAACGCCGCGUGAGUGAUGAAGGCUUUCGGGUCGUAAAACUCUGUUGUUAGGGAAGAAUAAGUGCUAGUUGAAUAAGCUGGCACCUUGACGGUACCUAACCAGAAAGCCACGGCUAACUACGUGCCAGCCGCCGCGGUAAUAC
rnacentral:rRNA from 1 species